UACGUAGGGUGCGAGCGUUAAUCGGAAUUACUGGGCGUAAGCGUGACGCAGGCGGUGCUGUAGACCGAUGUGAAAUCCCCCGGGCUUAACCUGGGAACUGCAUUGGUGACUGCAGCGCUGGAGUAUGGCAGAGGGGGGUGGAAUUCCACGUGUAGCAGUGAAAUGCGUAGAGAUGUGGAGGAACACCGAUGGCGAAGGCAGCCCCCCCUGGGCCAAUACUGACGCCUCGACUGCAC
rnacentral:rRNA from 1 species